rnacentral:rRNA from 1 species
GUACACGCUGUGACUAGCAUAUCAAUAAGCGGAGGAAAAGAAACUAACAAGGAUUCCCCUAGUAACGGCGAGUGAAGCGGGAAGAGCUCAAAUUUGAAAUCUUAAAGGGUUUCCCUUUACGAAUUGUAGUUUAAAGAAGUGUUUUCUGUUGAGGUUUUGGUAAAAGUUCUUUGGAAUAGGACAUCAUAGAGGGUGAGAAUCCCGUAUUUGACCUUUACUUUCAACUUUGUGAUACAGCUUUCAAAGAAUCGGAUUGUUUGGGAAUGCAGUCCAAAAUGGGUGGUAAAUUUCAUCUAAAGCUAAAUAUUGGCGAGAGACCGAUAGCGAACAAGUACCGUGAGGGAAAGAUGAAAAGAACUUUGAAAAGAGAGUUAAACAGUACGUGAAAUUGUCAAAAGGGAAGCGUUUGACACCAGUGUUGUUUUUCUGAAAAUCAAUUAAAGAACUGUUUAUGCUAAGUUGUUUAGACUUUAUCAGCUAUCUGUUUAGUUUUGAGCUUUUCUUUAAUGCACUUUUCAGUUAACAAGUCAACAUCAAUUUCUUUUGCUGUAAAAAAGCUUGAGGAAGGUGGCUUGAGAUUCGUCUUAAGUGUUUAUAGCCUCUUGCCUAUGCAGUCGGAGAGAUUGAGGUCUGCAGCGUAGAUCCUUCGGGGCUAAAUGCAUUUGUGCUAAGUUAUAGCAUUUUAUAGACAACUUGUUGACUAUGAUUUGUCUUGUAGCUUACUCGCUUAUGUUAUUUUACCUACGCUUAGGAUGUUGAAGAUGUAGCACAUCAU